ACGGGUGAGGAACACAUCGGAAUCUGCCCGGUUGUGGGGGAUAACGUAGGGAAACUUACGCUAAUACCGCAUACGAUCGAGAGAUGAAAGCGGGGGACCGUAAGGCCUCGCGCAGUCGGAUGAGCCGAUGUCGGAUUAGCUAGUUGGUGGGGUAAAGGCCUACCAAGGCGACGAUCCGUAGCUGGUCUGAGAGGAUGAUCAGCCACACUGGGACUGAGACACGGCCCAGACUCCUACGGGAGGCAGCAGUGGGGAAUAUUGGACAAUGGGGGCAACCCUGAUCCAGCAAUGCCGCGUGUGUGAAGAAGGCCUUCGGGUUGUAAAGCACUUUUAUCCGGAACGAAACGUGUCGGGUUAACAGCCCGGCAAACUGACGGUACCGGAGGAAUAAGCACCGGCUAACUUCGUGCCAGCAGCCGCGGUAAUACGAAGGGUGCAAGCGUUACUCGGAAUUACUGGGCGUAAAGGGUGCGUAGGUGGUUUGUUAAGUCUGCUGUGAAAUCCCCGGGCUCAACCUGGGAAUGGCAGUGGAUACUGGCAAGCUGGAGUGCGGUAGAGGGUAGUGGAAUUCCCGGUG
rnacentral:rRNA from 1 species